CAGCAGAUUGCCGGUCUGUCUCCGAGACAGAAAUAACCGGGCUUUUCUUGCAGUUAAGAAACAGAAGUGAGUCCCUCAUUCCAAGUAUCGCUAAACCCUUCACAAAAGAGAUCAGAAGGAACCUGGCAUUGCCAUCUCAUCUGAAGGAAGGCUACGCUGCAUUCACCUUAGUGAAUCAGAAAAGGCUAUUGUGAGAAAGGAAGUCCAUUCCAGAAGAGAUUGUUGUCACAUUGUAUGUCCAAGGUGUUUACUCAAGAUUAAUUAGUGGUCCUGGGGAAGACAGAGGAUAGAGAAGUGAACAUGAAGAGAGAUGUCUGCCUAGAAAAUGCAGCAAGAAAAGCAUCCUGUGCAUCGAAAGUGACAAACCCCGUAGCUUAUCAUUUGAGGACGUCAGCAAUGACUUUGCUCUCCAAAAAUCACAAACGAAAAUGUUUUAAAUGUCAGUGUUAAAAUUAAUGUGAUGUGCAAACAGAUAUACUGCAGAUUGUACUGCUUCCAUUAAGUAAGCUGGUCUGUGUAACUAACUGCGUUUGUGUUGCUGUAGAUAUAAAGUUUUCAUAUCUACUAAUUAAGAGAUCAUAGAUGAAAAUGUGUUAAUUUGAAAUUAUUUUAUAAUGCAAACAGGCAUACUUCCAG